AUAUUAUUAAGCGGAGGAAAAGAAACUAACAAGGAUUUCCCUAGUAAUGGCGAAUGAACGGGAAAGAGCCCAGCACCGAAUCCCGUAGUGCUUCACUGCCGGGAACUGUGGUGUUAGGCAAGCCUUUCCUGCACUUUGAGGCAGUCAAAGUCCCCUUGAGGGGGGCCAUCGCCCAUAGCGGGUGCAAGGCCCAUACGACGCCCUUUGUGUUGGUUGGAGCUGCCGUGGAGUCGGGUUGCUUGAGAGUGCAGCCCAAAGUGGGUGGUAAACCCCAUCUAAGGCUAAAUAUAACCACGAGACCGAUAGCAAACAAGUACCGUGAGGGAAAGUUGCAAAGAACUUUGAAGAGAGAGUUCAAAGGACGUGAAACCGCUUAGAAGUAAACGGGUGGAGCUGCCAUUACCUCUAUCGGAUUCAGCUUGCUGGUAGUAGAUUUUCUCUUCCUGAUCGCAAGACAGGGGGGCGAUUCUCGUCUGCUGUCAGUAGGUGCAUUUUCGGUAGAUGUGCGCCACGACCAACUGGAACGCCAGCUAAAGGCCGGAUGAUUGCCGACUGUGGUUU
rnacentral:rRNA from 1 species